CUACAUGCAAAAUUAGAAUGUUAAAUUGUUCACUAACUAAAUGCUUUGUAUAAAUCAUGAGGUUUGGAUUUUUGUUCGCUGAGUAGCCAAUGGAACUGAAUUUUUGUGUUAAUUUGAAUUUACUUUCUGAGCAAAUUUGUUGUGGCGUUGAAGAUUAUAUUCAAGGAACAAAUUGAUAAGUACAGAAUUCAUCACCAACUGAGGAGAUAGAUGGAGAUACUGACCAGUCUCCGGCACACGAACAUUCUGCGUCUUUAUGGUUGGUUUCAUGAUGCUGAUCGUGUUCUCUUGAUUCUUGAGUAUGCUCAUAAGGCAGAGCUUUACAAGGAGCUGAGAAAGAAGGAUUGUCUCACUGAGAAGCAAGCUGCCACGGGUCGUCUUAAAAUUCCUCACAAAGGAUCUCUCUUGAUAAGAUAAUGGAGCAUCCUUGGAUAAUCAAGAAUGCAGAUUCUUUCAACUCACUAAUUUAACUUCGGCCACAAGGGAUUAAGACUGAAUUCUGUAUUUGGUGUUGUAAAAUGCAAGCUAAUGUAAGUGUUUUGCAGUGUUCAAGUGUAUAAUCAACUUGAAAGACACAUUACCUUCACCGUGAGGUUAGGAAUAUUAGGAUUGUAUAUCUGCCUAUUUGUAAUAAUUGUAUUGUAGGUGUAAUUUCUUCCAGUUCUUUGUGCAUCGAAACCAGGCAUGACUAAUGACUUGCACAGAUUUAUUUUGACAUGCAUCUGACUAGCAGGGAA